rnacentral:rRNA from 1 species
GAUGAACGCUGGCGGCGUGCCUAAUACAUGCCAGUCGAGCGAACAGACGAGGAGCUUGCUCCUCUGACGUUAGCGGCGGACGGGUGAGUAACACGUGGAUAACCUACCUAUAAGACUGGGAUAACUUCGGGAAACCGGAGCUAAUACCGGAUAACAUGUUGAACCGCAUGGUUCAACAGUGAAAGACGGUCUUGCUGUCAUUUAUAGAUGGAUCCGCGCCGCAUUAGCUAGUUGGUAAGGUAACGGCUUACCAAGGCAACGAUGCGUAGCCGACCUGAGAGGGUGAUCGGCCACACUGGAACUGAGACACGGUCCAGACUCCUACGGGAGGCAGCAGUAGGGAAUCUUCCGCAAUGGGCGAAAGCCUGACGGAGCAACGCCGCGUGAGUGAAGAAGGUCUUCGGAUCGUAAAACUCUGUUAUUAGGGAAGAACAAAUGUGUAAGUAACUAUGCACGUCUUGACGGUACCUAAUCAGAAAGCCACGGCUAACUACGUG